ACAGUAAAGAAAAGAAGCUUCAGAAAAGGUUGUUCCUGCACAGAGCCUCAUAAUACUAGCAUGCCACACCAGUGGAAGGAUCCAACUCUGCAAAAUUGCAGAAACUAAGUCAGGGCUCAGCAUUCAGGCAUUUUAAAGACUACAAGAAAGGAGUAACUGAAAAGAAAGGCAAUAAUUUCUCUGAAGCUGGCAGUAUUUGCAAGGGAACACCAAAGCCUGUCUGUGGAGAAGGCCUGAAUGUGUAAACAGCAGAGGAAUAAUCCAACAAAAGGAAGAUCAAUGCCUUCAAACUCACUGUGUUUGAAAGGAAAACCAAAGCUGGCCACACUGAGGGUCAGACACCUCAUCAAGCACGAUGAAGGCAGUCUCUUGCACUUCCUGGUAAUAAAAUAUUUUAUGAGAAA